CCUUUCCGCGCUGCUCAGACCGGGGUCCAUAGGGCGUUGUUCUUGAUUCCCGUCGUAACUUAAAGGGAAACUUUCACAAUGUCCAGAGCCCUCGAUGUCUUGCAAAUGAAAGAGGAGGAUGUCCUCAAGUUCCUUGCAGCAGGAACCCACCUUGGUGGCACCAACCUUGACUUCCAAAGGGAACAGUACAUCUACAAAAGGAAAAGUGAUGGCAUCUAUGUCAUAAAUCUGCAGAGAACCUGGGAGAAGCUUCUGUUGGUGGCUCGUGCCGUUGUUGCCAUUGAAAACCCAGCUGAUGUCAGUGUCAUAUCCUCCAGGAACACUGGCCAGCGAGCUGUGCUUUGCUGCUGCUACUGGAGCCACUCCUAUUGCUGGCCUCUUCACUCCUGGAACCUUCACUAACCAGAUCCAGGCAGCCUUCCGGGAGCCGAGACUUCUGGUUGUUACUGAUCCCAGGGCUGACCACCAGCCUCUCACAGAGGCCUCUUACGUUAACCUGCCUGCCAUUGCUCUGUGUAACACAGACUCACCUCUGCGUUAUGUGGACAUUGCCAUCCCGUGCAACAAAAAGGGAGCUCUCUCAGUGGGUCUGAUGUGGUGGAUGCUCACCCAGGAAGUUCUGCGCAUGCGUGGCAUCACCUCCUGUGAACACCCAUGGGAAGUCAUGCCUGACCUCUCCUUCUACAGAGAUCCUGAAGAGAUUGAAAAGGAAGAGCAGGCUUCAGCUGAGAAGGCUGUGACCAAGGAGGAAUUUCAGGGUGAAUGGACUGCGCCAGCUCCUGAUCACUGCCACUCAACCUGAGGUGGCAAAUUGGUCCGAAGGUGUGCAGGUGCCUUCUGUGCCCAUCCAGCAAUUCCCUGCUGAAGAUUGGAGUGCUCAGCCUACCACUGAAGAUUGGUCUGCAGUUCCCACUGUGCAGGCCACUGAAUGGGUAGGAACAGCCACUGAGUUGUCUUAAGUUCUUCCAUGAACUCUUAAGUUUCUAAAAAUAGAAGUGGGUUGAAUAUAAAAUAAACAGUUUCUAAAUUGAAAAAAAAAAAAA